rnacentral:rRNA from 1 species
GAUUUCUGACUUGGCGCACCUGGCCCGCCACGGUUACGUGUGUGAGUGCCGGGAUGCGCCUGUCACUGUUCUGGUAAACUAUUGUGCUCUUCAUUGGGUGUGAUAGGUAGCCAGAUAUUUUACUUUGAAAAAAUUAGAGUGUUUAAAGCAGGCGUUUGCUAUGAAUACAUUAGCAUGGAAUAAUAAGUUAGGACUUCGGUUCUAUUUUGUUGGUUUCUAGGACUGAAGUAAUGAUUGAUAGGGACAGUUGGGGGUGCUAGUAUUCAGUGAGAAAGGGUGAAAUCUUUGGAUUCACUGAAGACUAACUUAUGCGAAAGCAUU